UACGUAGGGGGCAAGCGUUGUCCGGAGUUACUGGGCGUAAAGCGCACGCAGGCGGUCUUUUAAGUUUGGAGUGACAGUUGGUGGCUUAACUGCCAAAGUGCUUCGAAAACUGAAAGACUUGAGGGCUUCAGAGGGACACGGAAUUCCGGGUGGAGUGGUGAAAUGCGUAGAGAUGUGGAGGAACACCAGUGGCGAAGGCGACUUUCUGGCCUAUAACUGACGCUGAGGCGCGAAAGCGUGGGGAGCAAACAGG
rnacentral:rRNA from 1 species